rnacentral:rRNA from 1 species
UUAGGAAACGUAGGGGUGGCUCCAUCUGGAAGAAUCUGGAGACAGGUGCUGCAUGGCUGUCGUCAGCUCGUGUCGUGAGAUGUUGGGUUAAGUCCCGCAACGAGCGCAACCCUUGCCUUUAGUUGCCAGCAGUUCGGCUGGGCACUCUAAAGGGACUGCCGGUGUUAAACCGGAGGAAGGUGGGGAUGACGUCAAGUCCUCAUGGCCUUUAUGACCAGGGCUACACACGUACUACAAUGGCCGAUACAAAGGGCAGCGACACUGCGAGGUGAAGCCAAUCCCGUAAAAUCGGUCUCAGUCCGGAUUGGGGUCUGCAACUCGACUCCAUGAAGUUGGAAUCGCUAGUAAUCGUGGAUCAGCAUGCCACGGUGAAUACGUUCCCGGGCCUU